UGCUGGGGUGAUGGAAUUGGUAUACAUGCACGAUUGAGGUUCGUGUGCCUUGCGCUUGGGAGUUCGAGUCUCCUCUCCAGCAA
rnacentral:tRNA from 1 species